CCUGAGCAAGAAGAGCAACAUUGCUGAUGUCCUCCCACCGCUAGAGGGCAGCACUGGCCCAACAGACAGGAGUUGGCCACAGCUGUGCUUCAUUGCAAUCACAUCAGCUGUGGCCGAUUAACUGAUUAUGGGCUCUAUAAGAGGCCUGGCUUCCAGGCUCUAGAGCAGAGGUGUUUGGGAGCUGGGGGAAUGCAUAGUGUGGGGGAAUGUGUGCCAGGUUUUUUUUUUUUUUUUUUGGGUUUGGUAAUUUUUUGUGUGUGUGAUUUUGGCUUCGUUUUGUCUUUGAAGUUUUUGGUUGCCAGAUUGGUCUUUUUUUUUUCUUCAAGAUUUCCAUUGUUUUUUUUUUGGAGGAAUUAAAGGCGGUUGGUGCUGGCGGGGCAGAGCUGGCGGGACAGUCCUGGUGGGACGGCGCUGGUGGGACGGUCCUGGCGGGACGGUGCCGGUUGGCGUAAGAGGCAUCAUGAAUAUUUACGCCCGACGGCUGAAAGCGACGAAGACGUAAUCAUAUUUCAGACCACUGAAGGAGAGAUGAGUCGCUCGGGCCCGACAGCGUCGUCGGUGAGCUGGCCCCGAUCCUCCGGCAAACCGCCCAGAAGCGAGCGGACAGGUUUAGACAUCGGCUGAACCGCGGUGCCGAUCCAUCCCCCACAGAUCAUAAUAGGAACACCAAAUCACAUUUGAGAAAUCCCUGGACCCUUUCCUUCUCUACCUCGCUCUUUCCUGAGAAGCAGUAAUUGAAAUGGCAAUAAUGAUGCAUCCAUUACAACAUUCAAAUCUUCUGA